CCUCUGAAUGACCUGCAGGCGGCGCAGCUGAUCAGUCUCAGCAGCUCCUCACAGCAGAAGAAGAACAAGAACAAGCAAAGACGGCGCGGCUAGAUGUAAACAGACGUUGCUCCGCUGAAAACAUUAACGUUGGUCUGUAUGAAGGUCUGAACUGAAGAUGACAAGCUGUGGAGGAAAAGAGCCGCAGCAGGACAGUUAGUUCUUGAACAGUAAAUACGGAGAAGGAACCAGAUCCACCUCCACGAGGCCUGACCUGGUCUGGGAGGUCUUGGUCCAGGAGGUCCUGACGCUGGCCGAGUAGCAGCAGUGAUGGCGGGUCGUGGACGCGGUCGCAGGAUUCUGGGUUUCAGUGUGGAUUUAGCUGGUAGAGGAGACUCUGGGCCACCAGCUGCACAGCAGCCCACACCUGUGUUUCCAGUGAUGGAGCCGAAGCCCCUCCCCCUGACAGGUGGGGAGGAAGCAGAGUACCUGUUGGCCCUGAAGCAGGACUUCAGAGGAGCGAUGAGGAGUCUGCCCUGCUUCAUCCAGCCUGCUGCAGCACACAGAGAUGUGGAGCGUUACUCAGAUAAAUACCACAGCGGUGAGCCACCAGACGGUCUGAUGGACUGGACUCCAGACUGGAAGAGGUUUCCCAGAGAGCUCAGAGUCCAGGUCCGGAAGGAGCACAGAGACCGUCAGUACUCAGAUUACCUCCGUCUGUACUCCGAAUACCUCUGUGUUUGCGUGUCACUGAGCCUGUCAGGUGGAGGUCAGCCAGCCCAGAGGAAGACGAAGAAGAUGAAGAAGGAUGGAGAGAAGGAGGAGGUUCUGCUGAAGCUGGAGAUGGCGUUGGGGGUGGCUCUGAUGCAGAUACCUGCCAAAGCGGGGCAAAAAUGUUGUCCUGCUGAGCCCCGGAGAUCAGUGACGGUGAGAAGAGGAAGCCCCAGAUGAUUCUGGAUUAUAACCGCUACAAAGGAGGCGUGGAUACCAUGGAUGACGUAUAUGAUUUCCACAUACAGGAGGAAGGCCAGGCGGUGGCCUGUGGCGUGUUUUUCAACAUGCUGGACAUCAGUGCCCUUAAUGCACCGCUGUGGAUCCAGCAUGGAACCAGGGGAAGUCCCCCAAAUGAAGGCUGAUCCUCGAGGAGCUGGGGAAGAAGCUUGUCAUCCCAUUGAUGGUCCAGCGACAACGCCUACCUAAAUCAGCAGGUGCUUCUCGCCUAAUACUUGAGACUCAGUCAGCUUCAAGUGACCCUGCCUCCAUCUCAGCCAGUCCCAGCACCAGCUCCAACCCCAGCAACACCGCUUCUACCCGUGUGAGGAGGCAGUGUGCACUUUGCUCUGGUAGAAGAAUUGUGCAAUGCACCUGCAAAAACUGCGGAAAGCCUCUUUGCAAGGAACAUUACUGUACAGUUUGCAGCUCCUGCCUCCUCUGAACCGUUCACAUGAUAUGUCGUCAUUGUUGUUGUUUUUGUUUAUUUCUAGAUAUUGUUCUUGUUCAGUUUUCUGUUAGCCUGUAUGGUGUUCUAAUAAAUGGCUUGGCUUGUUA